UGACCAAAUCAAGUCGGCGCCGCGUU
rnacentral:sRNA from 1 species